rnacentral:lncRNA from 1 species
CCCAGCUCAUUUUUGAAAAAGAAUCAACCCACCCAACUCAACAAACAAAGAAAAUCUUCACAAAAGGAAAAGAAAGAACAGAGAGAUACUAUCAUCCCUGCUCCAUAAAACAAUAACAUUUUGAUUAAUAAAAGUAAAACAUCAGCAACGCAAGAUAUCAUGUUUCUCCAAAUACAUUUAGAUUUUGAGGUGAACAUUUAAAAUGCUAAAAUGCAGGACAACAUGUUUUUCCAUUUGCAUUUAAUUUUGGGAUGUUCAUUUAAGCAGACCUCUUUCUUUCUGUUUUUGAGAAACUACCAGACCUCUUUCAUAUCAACCCUCAAAGUUUUCCAUCAUAAUUCUCCAUGAAAACUUCAUCACCACAAUUUUCAUGAAAAUCCGAUCAAACCCAUAAAAGGAAAAACCAGUAUUAAAGCAACAUCAUCAAUACAACAUGAUAUCCUUACCAAAAUUAUAGUAAGAACCUGUAGCCACAAGAAGUACUAGAUCUAACAAGCAAAAACAAAGAUAAUGCUAAAAAUAAGAAUUUGAAAGAGAACCCCGGCCAAGAUAAGUACCUCAAAACCAGGUACCCCUGAGUCUCUUUCUUGCACUCUCUCUUUCUUUCCUUUAAAUUCUCUCUCUUGGGUUGCUGACCCAAGAGACUUAAAGGCUGCAGAGAGAGGAAGCGAGAGUUAUCAGCUGAGAUAUCUGUUGCACUUUUAAAGCCAGGACUAAUCAAUCAAUGGCCAAAUGCCUUUUUUUUUUAAUAAAAACGUUUUUACGUAUGAAAAAUUCGAAGAAAUACGUGGCAUCCUAA